AAAAGAACCACAAGUUACACUAAUUAGGUAAACAAACAAGCCAUUAUUCAUCGAUCAUAAAGUAAAGAGAGAACUCAAGUACGCGAUCACCGUCCAGCGGUGUUGAGCCCAAGAAGCAUGUUGUUUCCAGUCGGGAGGUACGCCACAUUCACCGACUUCGCAAGUGUAGCCGAGAUCUCCCGAGCAGCCUCAAUGCGCCGGAUCUCAAGCAGCCCCAUCCCAACAGAAGCAGUAGCAUCCGAGAUCAGCUUCGCAGACUCACUCUCCCCCUCAGCCCUAAUAAUAGCCGCCCGUGCUUCCUGCUGUGCACGCGCCACCACGAACCUCGAUCGCUCCGCCUCCUGCUGCGCCACCUGCUUCUUCUCCACAGCAGCCGAGAACUCCGCCCCAUAGGAGAGGUGAGUGAUCGCGACAUCGUCGAGGAUGAUGUUGAAGUCACGCGCACGACGGAUGAGGGAGUCGCGGACAAGGGCGGAGACGUGUGGGCGCUCGGUGAGGAGCUGAUCGGCGUUGAACUGGGCGACGACGGCUUUGAGGACCUCGUUGCCGAUGGAGGGGAGGACCUUGUCGUCGUACUCAAGGCCGAGGGACUUGAAGAUUG
rnacentral:misc_RNA from 1 species